rnacentral:misc_RNA from 1 species
GAUGAAGAACGUAGCGAAAUGCGAUAAGUAAUGUGAAUUGCAGAAUUCAGUGAAUCAUCGAAUCUUUGAACGCACCUUGCGCCCUUUGGCCAUUCCGAAGGGCAUGCCUGUUUGAGUAUCAUGAACACCUCAACUCUUCAUGGUUUUCCAUGAUGAGCUUGGACUUUGGGGGUCUUGCUGGCCUGUGGGUCGGCUCCUCUCAAAUGAAUCAGCUUGCCGGUUUUUGGUGGGCAUCACAGUUGUGAUAACUAUCUACGCUUGUGGUUUUCCACCAGGGUAACCUUCAGCAGUGGAGGUUCACUGGAGCUUACAAAUGUCUCUCCUCUGUGAGGACAGCCCUUUGAAUGUUUGAUCUCAAAUCAGGUAGGACUACCCGCUGAACUUAAGCAUAUCAAUAAGCGGAGGA